rnacentral:rRNA from 1 species
GAUGAACGCUAGCGGGAGGCCUAACACAUGCAAGCCGAGCGGUAGAGAUUCUUCGGAAUCUUGAGAGCGGCGUACGGGUGCGGAACACGUGUGCAACCUACCUUUAUCUGGAGGAUAGCCUUUCGAAAGGAAGAUUAAUACUCCAUAAUAUAUUGAUUGGCAUCAAUUGAUAUUGAAAGCUCCGGCGGAUAGAGAUGGGCACGCGCAAGAUUAGUUAGUUGGUGAGGUAACGGCUCACCAAGACGAUGAUCUUUAGGGGCCUGAGAGGUGAUCCCCCACACUGGUACUGAGACACGGACCAGACUCCUACGGGAGGCAGCAGUGAGGAAUAUUGGUCAAUGGGUGCAAGCCUGAACCAGCCAUCCCGCGUGAAGGACGACUGCCCUAUGGUUGUAAACUUCUUUGUAUAGGGAUAAACUACCCUCGUGAGGGUAGCUGAAGGUACUAUACGAAUAAGCACCGGCUAACUCCGUAGCCAGCAGCCGCGGUAAU